rnacentral:snoRNA from 14 species
UUAAUGAUGAUUAAAAAAAUCUAUAUGUCAAUUCCUUUAACCUGAAAAAAAAGCUGAUUAUAAAGAUUUUCCAUAAUUCUGACA